ensembl:lncRNA
UUAGUAUCCUAUAUCACCCUUUACGGGGGAGGACAGCCUUGUAAAAUAUGCUUGGUCAAGUGGGUUUGCGUAAUAUCCAACUCUCUUCAUUCCUUUGGCGGAAUACCAAUGAUGUUCUGAGUGGGCUGCUGAAAAUGUACCACAGGACGUCACUUUGGCUCACCUAGACGGUUUCCUGUCAGCUUGGAUGUAUGAAAACUCCCAGGCAGCCAGCAAAAUAAAGAAGGCACCCCUUCACAUCCCAGGGGUCACCUCCUGCCCAGUGCCCAGGGUCAAAGCCCUCGCUGACGGGCACAGCUGGCCAGGGUGGCUCCCAGAGGACACUUUCUCGUCUUCACCUCGGGGCCUGGUGAACUUGGUGACUCGGGGUCAGAACUGCCCUGGAGGAUGUCUGCUGCCCCACGAGCAGGGAGGAACUGUGUGAACAGACCUGACUGGCUGUUCCUGAGACUGAACAGCUGCUCCCUAGGAGCCAGGGGAGGCCGGGCAGUGGUCUGUGUCUUCCGGGGCAGCAGCCCCAGGGGCCACGUCUACAGGCUGUAUCACGGUCUGCCGGCUGCCUCCCACCUGCAUGCAGAGGAUGCUGAUGGUGCCAGAGGCCCCUCAGGUGUGGCCCUCCCCAGCUGUUCUGUAAGCUUCUAUUGCAAGCACCUGGGGUUCUCCACUGAGAGGUUUCUUUGCCAGGCCCGGCUUGCUCAGAACAUUCCAGAAGCACCCAGGAGACGACACCAGCAGGACUAGCCUUCAGCCAUGCUGAUGAGAACUGAGGCUGAAAUGUUGGUUCCCCGGCCCCUCAGGAGGAAGGAGGCUGUCCCCCUGGGCUGGUAGGAGCGCAUCAGGGGGCGCACCAGGCCCCAUCGAGGGGCCUGCUCUUGAGCACACAUUCUAUGGACUGCUUCAAAUGGGCUUCAUUUUCAGAUAUGUUUAUAGAUUUUCACAUAAGAAUUCACAAAUCAGAAACUUUUUUUUUGUCCAGCCAUAUAUUCAUUUUUUCCCUUAAAAAUACGGUACCUGUAAUAUCAAGUUUAAUUUAUCCCAUAUAAGUUUUAUAC